GACGAACGCUGGCGGCGUGCUUAACACAUGCAAGCCGAACGGUAAGGCCCUUCGGGGUACACGAGUGGCGAACGGGUGAGUAACACGUGGGUGAUCUGCCCUGCACUUCGGGAUAAGCCUGGGAAACUGGGUCUAAUACCGGAUAGGACCACUGCCUGCAUGGGUGGUGGUGGAAAGCUUUUGCGGUGUGGGAUGGGCCCGCGGCCUAUCAGCUUGUUGGUGGGGUGAUGGCCUACCAAGGCGACGACGGGUAGCCGGCCUGAGAGGGUGACCGGCCAGACUGGGACUGAGAUACGGCCCAGACUCCUACGGGAGGCAGCAGUGGGGAAUAUUGCACAAUGGGCGCAAGCCUGAUGCAGCGACGCCGCGUGAGGGAUGGCGGCCUUCGGGUUGUAAACCUCUUUCAGCACCGACGAAGCGCAAGUGACGGUAGGUGCAGAAGAAGGACCGGCCAACUACGUGCCAGCAGCCGCCGUAA
rnacentral:rRNA from 1 species